GGGUUGUGAGGUUAAGCGACUAAGCGUACACGGUGGAUGCCCUGGCAGUCAGAGGCGAUGAAGGACGUGCUAAUCUGCGAAAAGCGUCGGUAAGGUGAUAUGAACCGUUAUAACCGGCGAUGUCCGAAUGGGGAAACCCAGUGCAAUUCGUUGCACUAUCGUUAACUGAAUACAUAGGUUAACGAGGCGAACCGGGGAACUGAAACAUCUAAGUACCCCGAGGAAAAGAAAUCAACCGAGAUUCCCCCAGUAGCGGCGAGCGAACGGGGAGCAGCCCAGAGUCUGAAUCAGCUUGUGUGUUAGUGGAACGGUCUGGAAAGUCCGACGGUACAGGGUGAUAGUCCCGUACACCAAAAUGCACAGGCUGUGAACUCGAAGAGUAGGGCGGGACACGUGGUAUCCUGUCUGAAUAUGGGGACCAUCCUCCAAGGCUAAAUACUCCUGACUGACCGAUAGUGAACCAGUACCGUGAGGGAAAGGCGAAAAGAACCCCGGCGAGGGGAGUGAAAAAGAACCUGAAACCGUGUACGUACAAGCAGUGGGAGCACCUUCGGGUGUGACUGCGUACCUUUUGUAUAAUGGGUCAGCGACUUAUAUUCUGUAGCAAGGUUAACCGUAUAGGGGAGCCGCAGGGAAACCGAGUCUUAACUGGGCGUUAAGUUGCAGGGUAUAGACCCGAAACCCGGUGAUCUAGCCAUGGGCAGGUUGAAGGUUGGGUAACACUAACUGGAGGACCGAACCGACUAAUGUUGAAAAAUUAGCGGAUGACUUGUGGCUGGGGUGAAAGGCCAAUCAAACCGGGAGAUAGCUGGUUCUCCCGAAAGCUAUUUAGGUAGCGCCUCGUGAAUUCAUCUUCGGGGUAGAGCACUGUUUCGGCUAGGGGUCAUCCCGACUUACCAACCCGAUGCAAACUACGAAUACCGAAGAAUGUUAUCACGGGAGACACACGGCGGGUGCUAACGUCCGUCGUGAAGAGGGAAACAACCCAGACCGCCAGCUAAGGUCCCAAAGUCAUGGUUAAGUGGGAAACGAUGUGGGAAGGCACAGACAGCCAGGAUGUUGGCUUAGAAGCAGCCAUCAUUUAAAGAAAGCGUAAUAGCUCACUGGUCGAGUCGGCCUGCGCGGAAGAUGUAACGGGGCUAAACCAUGCACCGAAGCUGCGGCAGCGACACUAUGUGUUGUUGGGUAGGGGAGCGUUCUGUAAGCCUGCGAAGGUGUGCUGUGAGGCAUGCUGGAGGUAUCAGAAGUGCGAAUGCUGACAUAAGUAACGAUAAAGCGGGUGAAAAGCCCGCUCGCCGGAAGACCAAGGGUUCCUGUCCAACGUUAAUCGGGGCAGGGUGAGUCGACCCUAAGGCGAGGCCGAAAGGCGUAGUCGAUGGGAAACAGGUUAAUAUUCCUGUACUUGGUGUUACUGCGAAGGGGACGGAGAAGGCUAUGUUAGCCGGGCGACGGUUGUCCCGGUUUAAGCAUGUAGGCUGGUUGUCCAGGCAAAUCCGGAUAAUCAAGGCUGAGGUGUGAUGACGAGGCACUACGGUGCUGAAGUAACAAAUGCCCUGCUUCCGGAAAAGCCUCUAAGCAUCAGGUAACAUUAAAUCGUACCCCAAACCGACACAGGUGGUCAGGUAGAGAAUACCAAGGCGCUUGAGAGAACUCGGGUGAAGGAACUAGGCAAAAUGGUGCCGUAACUUCGGGAGAAGGCACGCUGGUGUGUAGGUGAAGUCCCUGCGGAUGGAGCUGAGACCAGUCGAAGAUACCAGCUGGCUGCAACUGUUUAUUAAAAACACAGCACUGUGCAAACACGAAAGUGGACGUAUACGGUGUGACGCCUGCCCGGUGCCGGAAGGUUAAUUGAUGGGGUUAUCCGUAAGGAGAAGCUCUUGAUCGAAGCCCCGGUAAACGGCGGCCGUAACUAUAACGGUCCUAAGGUAGCGAAAUUCCUUGUCGGGUAAGUUCCGACCUGCACGAAUGGCGUAAUGAUGGCGGGCUGUCUCCACCCGAGACUCAGUGAAAUUGAACUCGCUGUGAAGAUGCAGUGUACCCGCGGCAAGACGGAAAGACCCCGUGAACCUUUACUAUAGCUUGACACUGAACAUUGAGCCUUGAUGUGUAGGAUAGGUGGGAGGCUUUGAAGCGUGGACGCCAGUCUGCGUGGAGCCAACCUUGAAAUACCACCCUUUAAUGUUUGAUGUUCUAACGUUGGCCCCUGACCGGGGUUGCGGACAGUGUCUGGUGGGUAGUUUGACUGGGGCGGUCUCCUCCCAAAGCGUAACGGAGGAGCACGAAGGUUAGCUAAUCUGGUCGGACAUCAGGAGGUUAGUGCAAUGGCAUAAGCUAGCUUGACUGCGAGCGUGACGGCGCGAGCAGGUGCGAAAGCAGGUCAUAGUGAUCCGGUGGUUCUGAAUGGAAGGGCCAUCGCUCAACGGAUAAAAGGUACUCCGGGGAUAACAGGCUGAUACCGCCCAAGAGUUCAUAUCGACGGCGGUGUUUGGCACCUCGAUGUCGGCUCAUCACAUCCUGGGGCUGAAGUAGGUCCCAAGGGUAUGGCUGUUCGCCAUUUAAAGUGGUACGCGAGCUGGGUUUAGAACGUCGUGAGACAGUUCGGUCCCUAUCUGCCGUGGGCGCUGGAGAAUUGAGGGGCUGCUCCUAGUACGAGAGGACCGGAGUGGACGCAUCACUGGUGUUCGGGUUGUCAUGCCAAUGGCACUGCCCGGUAGCUAAAUGCGGAAGAGAUAAGUGCUGAAAGCAUCUAAGCACGAAACUUGCCCCGAGAUGAGUUCUCCUGAGACUUUAAGUCUCCUGAAGGAACGUUGAAGACGACGACGUUGAUAGGCCGGGUGUGUAAGCGCAGCGAUGCGUUGAGCUAACCGGUACUAAUGAACCGUGAGGCUUAACCUUACAACGCCGAAG
rnacentral:rRNA from 1 species